UGCUAUAAACACAAAAGCCUCUUUGAUGUC
rnacentral:piRNA from 1 species